GGCUUCCGGCGGCUGCGCGAUGACGCAGCGCGCGGGUGUACGAGCCGGCGCCAUGUGUUUCCAGCAGCGGCCAACUUCAGGGGGCCGCGGACAUCCGAGGCCAUCCGAGGCCGCCGGUGUAUGCAGGCGGCCAGCGCUCCCGACUGAAGCCGGGUGAGGUCCGGCCGGGGUGCGGGCCGGCGGCGAGGGGAUGGGGUCGCGCGGCUGCCGAGCGCGGCGUGGGCGGACCGCUGUCCCCUCUCGCGGAGGUGCCCGGCCCCCGGCUGUCGCGGGAGGCCCUUGAACCCGCCCGGCCUGCGGCUGCAGAGUGCAAGCGGAGCGGCGGCCUCCACGCCGAGAGGACUGCGGGAAGAGGCCGCUCUGGGUAAUGCUGGGCGUGCGGGUGCCCCGUGGGCUUGCGACUUGAGGGGUUUCUGUCCCGGGGUGUCGGGGUCGCCGGAGCCCCGCGGAAGGCCGCUGCUCCCUUCCGGUCCUCUCGCUAACGCUCCCCGACCGGGGGUCCCGUCCCGCGCUGCCCCAGUCAGCGAGCUGGCGUCCGGACCCCGUGCCCUCCGCCCGCGCGCCCUCCGCCACCCCCCGAAGGAGCGCACAGAGCCCGGAUCCUGCGCCGCAAGCCUCCAGCGUGCUUGGGUCUGCGGUGACCCUGUGCAUUCCUGCAGCGCUUGCCAGAGCAUCCUGAAACGGUUUGAGGCCUUGCCCUGCUCCGUCCAGAGCGAGGUUAUAGAAAUUUCAGACAGGCGUGCGUCCGGGCCGGGCCUCCUGCCGCUUGCAGUCGCAGGAAGCUGCGUUGGUGGUUGAGUUCGGUUUCUUGCAGGGCUGCGGCGGGGGGUCCUCCGGAGAGCGAGCGAGCACCCCUGCCGAGUCCACUCUUCAACCUUCAUUCUCCGCCCAAUUCAGACCUUUGAGCACCACCGUGAGGUGGUCUCGGGUCCAGUGCAGAACAGGGGCGCAGGGUCGCCCUGCCGGCCGCCCCAGGCCACCUUCCCAGAUGCCAGCCCGGGAGGGAGCCGGGCAUCCGGAAGGGCGUGGGAAGCGUAGGUGGCGGGAGAUUACCUUGGGAAUCUGCCUGGGUGGGAACGAGUGUUACCCGUGGGGGAUGGGCCGGGACGCUCCUGGCAGGGCGGAGAAGCUCGGGGGCUCCUCUGGGUGGCGGGUCACAUCACAUCUCCCUCAGACGUGGAGGCUUCUGGCCAACUUGCGGUCUGCCUCUCCCGUCCAGGUGCAGACACUGAACAUCGCAGCCUGCCGGUGGCACUGGGAAGCCAGUCCCUGAGGCUCCUGGGUCUGUGGUCCUGGGAGCAGGGCGCUGGCUGAACCCCAGCCCUCUUCUCAAGGAUGCUGGAGCAGCAGAUGGCCUCAGUGUGGACCAGCAGGCUCUGCUCUGGGUCCCUGUCCCAGCACAGGACACGUGGCGUCUGCCCUUCCCCACUGCUCCAGCGGCUGGAGUGCCCAGGUCCCAGUGGAGAGCGCCAGGAGGUGGCCUGGUCCGUGUCGGCGGGGCUGAUCUGGGAUCUGCGGCACCGGCCUUCACGCUGUCCGCAUGUGCCGCUGCCUCGUGUCUGAGGAAGUGGACCCUGGGGUGUGGCCUGCGCACGGACAUGCCCCACAAGGUCGCUCGUGCACCCGUCUCUCUAAGCAGGUUUGGGUGCCGCACUGUCUGGUUCCAAAACGAAGAUCCUUGCUGUGCAUCUUGUGUGCGGCAGAGGGGCGGUUAAUAAAGCCUUCUCAGCGGGUGA